rnacentral:rRNA from 1 species
UACAGAGGUGGCAAGCGUUGUUCGGAAUUACUGGGCGUAAAGGGCGCGUAGGCGGCCUUCUAAGUCAGACGUGAAAUCCCCCGGCUUAACCUGGGAACUGCGUCUGAUACUGGGAGGCUUGAGUAUGGGAGAGGGAUGUAGAAUUCCAGGUGUAGCGGUGAAAUGCGUAGAUAUCUGGAGGAACACCGGUGGCGAAGGCGGGUCUCUGGGCAGUAACUGACGCUGAGGAGCGAAAGCGUGGGGAGCGAACAGG